rnacentral:rRNA from 1 species
GACGAACGCUGGCGGCGUGCUUAACACAUGCAAGUUGAACGGAAAGGCCCUGCUUUUGUGGGGUGCUCGAGUGGCGAACGGGUGAGUAACACGUGAGUAACCUGCCCUUGACUUUGGGAUAACUUCAGGAAACUGGGGCUAAUACCGGAUAGGAGCUCCUGCUGCAUGGUGGGGGUUGGAAAGUUUCGGCGGUUGGGGAUGGACUCGCGGCUUAUCAGCUUGUUGGUGGGGUAGUGGCUUACCAAGGCUUUGACGGGUAGCCGGCCUGAGAGGGUGACCGGCCACAUUGGGGCUGAGAUACGGCCCAGACUCCUACGGGAGGCAGCAGUGGGGAAUAUUGCACAAUGGGCGGAAGCCUGAUGCAGCAACGCCGCGUGCGGGAUGACGGCCUUCGGGUUGUAAACCGCUUUCGCCUGUGACGAAGCGUGAGUGACGGUAAUGGGUAAAGAAGCACCGGCUAACUACGUG